AGAGUUUGAUCAUGGCUCAGGACGAACGCUGGCGGCGUGCUUAACACAUGCAAGUCGAACGGAAAGGCCCUUCGGGGUACUCGAGUGGCGAACGGGUGAGUAACACGUGGGUGAUCUGCCCUGCACUUUGGGAUAAGCCUGGGAAACUGGGUCUAAUACCAAAUAUGACCGCGCACUUCCUGGUGUGUGGUGGAAAGCUUUUGCGGUGUGGGAUGGGCCCGCGGCCUAUCAGCUUGUUGGUGGGGUAAUGGCCUACCAAGGCGACGACGGGUAGCCGGCCUGAGAGGGUGACCGGCCACACUGGGACUGAGAUACGGCCCAGACUCCUACGGGAGGCAGCAGUGGGGAAUAUUGCACAAUGGGCGCAAGCCUGAUGCAGCGACGCCGCGUGAGGGAUGACGGCCUUCGGGUUGUAAACCUCUUUCAAUAGGGACGAAGCGCGAGUGACGGUACCUAUAGAAGUAGGACCGGCCAACUACGUGCCAGCAGCCGCGGUAAUACGUAGGGUCCGAGCGUUGUCCGGAAUUACUGGGCGUAAAGAGCUCGUAGGUGGUUUGUCGCGUUGUUCGUGAAAACUCACAGCUUAACUGUGGGCGUGCGGGCGAUACGGGCAGACUAGAGUACUGCAGGGGAGACUGGAAUUCCUGGUGUAGCGGUGGAAUGCGCAGAUAUCAGGAGGAACACCGGUGGCGAAGGCGGGUCUCUGGGCAGUAACUGACGCUGAGGAGCGAAAGCGUGGGGAGCGAACAGGAUUAGAUACCCUGGUAGUCC
rnacentral:rRNA from 1 species